rnacentral:lncRNA from 1 species
GAAGAGUGGAGGGGUGGGGAGAGGGGAGGACAGCUCCUUUCCACCCCUCCCUGCUCUGGGAAAGCGGCCCCGGCCCACAGCCAGUCAUGCUGCAGCAGGUGAAGGUCGGGGUGGAGGGUGAGCAGGUUCCCUGAGGAUGCAGAGGAGGGUCAGGGUGGAGGGUGGGCAGCUUCCUUGAGGAUGCAGAGGAGGGUCAGGGUGGAGGGUGGGCAGCUUCCCUGAGGAUGCGGAGGAGGGUGGGGUGGAGGGUGGGCAGGUUCCCUGAGGAUGCAGAGGAGGGUUGGGUGGAGGAUGGGCAGGUUCCCUGAGGAUGCAGGUGAGGUCAGGGUGGAGGAUGGGCAGGUUCCCUGAGGAUGCAGGGAGGGUGGGGUGGAGGGUGGGCAGGUUCCCUGACCCUGUACACAGCACUGAGGCAGGCCUCUCUGUCGCCCAGCCCCCAGCUCCCAGCCUGCAGCCGGGUACCUGACUCGGAGGGUUCCGCAGAGCAGGCAGGCUGACCGCAGGGCCUCAUAGCGCCUUAGUCUCUUAGGGAUGCUGCGACCAAUGACGGCAAAUGGCGAGGCCUCCUGGGGUCAGGCCAAAACCAGCCUCCCUGCCGAAAUCAAGGUGUCGAUGGGGCUCUGCUCCUCUGGAGGCCCCAGGAGAGUCGGUUCCCUGCUUCACCCCUUGCCGUGGCUGCCGACACCCCUUGGCUUGUGGCUGCGUCACUCCAGUCUCUGCCUCUGUCGCCACACUGCUCUCUCCUCCUCUGUGUCAAAUCUCCUUCUCAUGAGGAUGCGAGUGACUGCACUUAGGGCCCACCUGGGAUAAUCUGGGAUUGCCCCCAUCUCAACAUCCUCAACCAAAUCUUCAAGAUCCUUUCCUGCCACAUGGAGUCAGCCACAGAUUCCAGGGUUGAGGUCCUGAUACCCUUGGGGCAUGUUGGACCCACUGUGCUAGGUGAGGACGGAAACGAGGCAGCCCAGGUGACAGGCAGUGGUGAUGGGGGCACUGUCUAGGGGCGCCCUUGGAGGGCCUGCUCAUGUCUCCCUCCAUUCCCAAAGUGGGGUCCCUCAAACCCACACAAAAGGGAGGUAGAAUGGGAGGAAGAGUGGAGCAACCAGGGAGUUUGGGCCCCCAGGUGGUGCUGGCAGCCCACGGCCCCAGAUGGGGAGGAUUUG